CGACCGGCGCACGGGUGAGUAACGCGUAUCCAACCUUCCCAUUACUGUGGGAUAACCUGCCGAAAGGCAGACUAAUACCGCAUAGUCUUCGAUGACGGCAUCAGAUUUGAAGUAAAGAUUUAUCGGUAAUGGAUGGGGAUGCGUCUGAUUAGCUUGUUGGCGGGGUAACGGCCCACCAAGGCGACGAUCAGUAGGGGUUCUGAGAGGAAGGUCCCCCACAUUGGAACUGAGACACGGUCCAAACUCCUACGGGAGGCAGCAGAG
rnacentral:rRNA from 1 species